ensembl:snRNA Gm23975 U6 spliceosomal RNA
GUGCUCACUACGGCAGCACAUAUACUAAAAUUGGAACGAUACAUAGAAGAUUAACAUGUCCCUGCCCAAGGAUGGCAUGGAAAUUCAUUAAGCAUUUCCUACUUUU